rnacentral:tRNA from 1 species
GGGGUUGAAAUUUCAAUUUGCAGUUGAGUAAAGCUUAUAGCCAACCUU